GGGGUGGGGGGGUGGGGAGAAAGUACACUAGAUAUACAUCAAGCACAGGACCUCUUUCCCAUCCCCUCAAAAACCGGCUUGUUGCUUGUUUUUUAUCCUGGUCACAUUUUUCUUAUCAAACUCUAACGACAAACUCCGCAGGCACUGAAUUCCCGAGGAAGGAAGGUCACUGCGCUCCUUUUUUAGAGCACGGGUGUGGGGGAGAGGGGGGGUGGAGGAGAAGAACAGAAUUACCCGAAAUUGCACGUCCAUAGCCUGCCUGCCGCGGCUUAACCUGCUCCACCCAAGCGGUCUUAACCCCGCACUCAAACCCCUACGAGGCUCGGUUUCCUCAUCCGUACGCCGCGCGAGCAACUUGGCCGAAGGGCCCUCGGCGCUGGGGCCUACAGAGCCGGAGCACCAAUUCCUGCAGCGGGUGGGCUCGGGCAGGAGAGGAGAGACAGCCCCAAGUAAGCGCCUCACCCCCCGCUGCCGCUUUUGUUAUUCACAGCUCCGGGAUACGGAGGGAUAGAGAGAGACCGAGGGAGACAAGCCACAGGAAGUUAAGAAAGGCAAGUGGGUGGGGGUGGGGGACGAGAUCAAACAGCAAACGUGGACGGCCCGGAGGGCGUGGAGAAGGCUGAGCCAGAGACGGGAGAGGCCCCUGGGAGUUAACCGCACCGCCUAGGGACGUCGAUGGGGAGAAGCGGGCCGCGGCCGAGCCGAGCCGGGAAGGCAGGCGGAGGGCGGCAGAGGCCCAGGCGGCACGCGGCUGAGGUGGAGGCGGUAUCUGCUUUACUAUUGGACAAAGGACCCGCCGACUUUGAAAGCGGUAUGGAGACAGCCAGAGGAUUGGUCGCUCGGAGGCUUUAUGGGAAAUGAGACUUUAGCAAAGAGGAACCACCGGCGCCCUCUCGCGGUAAGCGAAACUAGGUCCUCCCACGUUUCGCCCAGCGUGAAGUAGCCACGUGUCUGCCGGCUUCCAGGAGACCCAAUUGUGGAGCCAUAUUGGCCACUAGUAGCUCAGGCCGAAAGCAUUUCCACGGGGUGAGCCAAUCAAAAAAGACCUGGAUCGCGCCUAAACCAAUCAUAGAGUUGAGGCGGAAGGAGUUUUCGCUAUUUGACUUAUUGGAGUCUUAAGUCAGCACUCGGCUGUGUAUCCAGUUUAUGAAAUAAUAUCUGGUGAUUACAAGAAGACCUCCUAAAAUUGUACUAAUUAGUUGCAUCUGAUGGGUGUUCUGAGUUGCUUUAUUGAAAAAGUAAAUUGGAGAAGCCAGCCUCUUAGCAGUACACAGCCUUAGCGUCCUCCUUCAAUCUCAAAAUGCAGUUAUCUGAAAUUGGCACACCCUGCUACCCAAAAAGAACUCUAAAUAUUUCUUUUAUUCUUCGAUUAAAGGGGAAAAGACGGCUGAGGCUCUGGAGUUGCAAAGACAAGAUGAAAGCAAACCUAUUAAUAAAGAGCUCAAAGCAUUAAUAAAUUUUACUCAGACUUAACAGUGUAUACCAGUACUUUCCAUACAAUUAAAAAAAUAAAACCACCACCACCAUGGGACCAGCGUUGUGACACAGCAGGUUAAGCUGCCACCUGCAGCGCCAGCAUCCCAUGUUAGAGUGCCUGUUGAAGUCCAGGCUGUUCUAUUUCCCAUCCAGUUUUCUGGAAAGCAGAGGAUGAUGGUCCAAUGCCCUCCCCCCACCACGUGGGAGACCCAGAUGGAUUUCUGAGUGCCUGGCUUUGACCUGUGGCCAUUUUGGGAGUGAACCAGAGAAUGGAAGAUGUCUCUGUCUGUCUCUCCCUCUUUCCCCUUCAAAUAAAAAAAAUUUUUAAUGAAUUUUUAAUUUUUUUAGUUACAUUUCCUUUUUAUUUUUCAGUUUUUAACAGAUUAAAUGUAGCUUCAAGAUACAGUUCUAAGAAUGUUUAAAAAAAACACACAACAAAACAAGAAGUGAGUCAUAUGCAUAGCCAGUUAAUAUAUAAGAAUGAGGCAGAAAAGUAACUUGCCCCAAAUCCCACAGCUAGUAAGUAGCAAGCGUGGCCUUAACCAGAAGGCAGUGUGGCACAAAAUUCGCGCUUUGAAUUACAUGAUCCAGAAUAAUUGGGUCCACAGAAAAAUGCUCACAGCACCAGUAUCCACAAUAGCCAAGAAGUGGAAAUAAUCUAACGUCUAUCAGCCGGUGAGUGGUUUAGAAAAUGUGCUACAUCCAUACAAUGGGAUAUGUUCAGCUGUAAAAAGGAAUGAGGUACUGAUAUAUGCUGCAACAGGGAUGAACCUGGAAAAUAUAGUACGUGAAAGCAGCCACACACAAAUAGCUACAGAUGGGAUGACUCGUUUCUAGGAAACGGUCAGAAUAGGCGAAUCUAUAGACAGAAAAGCGAGUAACUGGAGGUGACGACAUGCCCCUGAAGUCCCUCUUGGAUGCUAACGAGAUUCUGGUACUGGGUAGUGGUAGUGGUGGCCCAAUUCUGUGACUACAUGAAAACCCAUUGAGAGGUCACAUCGAAUGGUGGGUUUUGUUGUAUGUGAAUUGUAUUUCGAUAAAAAGUGCCACGUUCUCCUGAUUCUCAGCUGAAUAUUCCCAAUCAGUUAUGUCUGAUAAAAUGUGGUAAGUGCUAAACACAGAGUUCUGAGCAUGAGUAAUUGGAGAAGGGAUGGUAACAUUUCAGUAAAGAUGUGACAUUUGAACAAAAAACUAAAAGUGGGGCGUUCGAUUCUUUUUUCAACAUCAGUAUUCAUCCCCAAGUGCUGGCCAACUUACUCUGAAAAUAAUACUGGCAUGGAGGGCUCAUUACAGCUGAAUCCCCACUGCUGAGAACACUGACUCAAAGUGGGCACCCUGUGGAAAGUGAGUCACUGGCAUUUAUAAAGGAUGAAAACAGUGUGAAGAAACUCCUUGCAGAUCCACUGAAAGUUCAUUAUCUACUGACUUCUAGCAUGUUAUCUAUACCUAAAUAUAGUUUAAGAUAUUUAAUUUCUUUUGUAAUCUUAUUUUCAAGUAGAUUAAAUGUAUAGUCAGCCCUCCAUAAAAUCCCUAAGUGCCACAUCUGCUAAGUCAGCUGCUUAUAAUUAGAAAACAAUAUUCAUUCAAAAAACACUGAAUCUUGGAGCAGGCAUGUGGGACAGCUGAGAUGCCACUUCGGGUACCGGAGUCACGUACUGGAGUUUGGCUCUUGGUUCCUCUCCUUCUGAUCCACCUUCCUGCUAAUGUGCACCCUGGGAGGCAGAAGAUGAUGGCUCAAGCACUUGGGUUCCUGACACUCCUAUGACAGACCUGGUUGGAGUUCCUGGCUCCUGGCUUCAGACUGGAGAGUGAGCCAGUGGAUGGAAAAAAUCUCUCUCACUAUCUUUCAAGUAAGAUGAAAAUAAAUAAAAAUCAACUUAUCUUUUAA